rnacentral:rRNA from 1 species
GACUCUCGGCAACGGAUUAUCUCGGCUCUCGCAUCGAUGAAGAACGUAGGAAAUUGCGAUACUUGGUGUGAAUGCAGAUCCCGUGAACCAUCGAGUCUUUGAACGCAAGUUGCGCCCGAGGCCUCCUGGGUGUGGUCAGGGCACUUCGCCAUGAGGUGUCA